UCCGGGAGACCGGAGGCUCCACGGCCCUCCCGCCAGCCUGCCCGAGUUCCCUGCUGAGCGCCUUUCCCCCCGGGAAGAAUCCGGUGUGGAUUGUUGAAGUUCCCGCUUUUCCCGGGCUGGGCCUUCCUGACCCCGAGGCUCCCGCCCCGCCUCAGCCCGGCCCCUGGAUUAUUUUGUAUUUUUUCCCGCCUUCCUACCUCGUAGAAGCGAAAACCCUUCUCUCCGUAGCGUUCCAGCUGUUCCCAAUUUAAAUCUCAGGUCAAGUUCGUAGGUUUUCAGGAUGAUUUGAACGUUAUCUAGCUCAGAAUCCUUAGAAAAAACAAAGACAAAAUGUAUCACUGCGUUGGCCACAGGAAAUGCUAGAGAAAGUUUUUUAGGUUGAAGGACAUGAUACCAGAGGGAAACUUGGAACUUCUGAAAUGAAAGAGGAAUGACGGAAAUGAGUAUUUUUACUAAUAUUUUAUGGAAGAUUCUGGAUCUCUUAUUCAUGACUGAAAUUGGCCUGCAAUUUUCCAUCAUCAUUCUACACUUCUCAGGUAGUGGUGGCAUCAAAAUUAUACCAGAUGCAACAAACGACUUGAGUUUUUUUACAUUAUCUGGAAGAUUUUGUAUAAAUUGGAAUACUUUCCUCUCUGAGAAUUUGGCAAUACUCUGAGAAAUCACUGAAUCUUGGAUUCCCUUUCUGAAACAAUUUUUUAUUGUAAGUCCAAUUCUUAAUUCAAACUCAAGUUCUUUAUUUCUUCUUAGUUGAUUAUGGUAGCUUAUAUUUUUCUAGGAAUUUAUCUACUCUGUCUAAAAUUUUAAGUUUAUUAGCAUAAAGUUUUCCAUAGAAUAUUGUUACAAUUUUGAAGUCUGUAUCAUUUAUAAUGAUGUCACCUUUUUUAUUCCUGAUAUUUGUGCCUCUUUUUUUAUCAGUGUCACUGGAAUUUUGUCAGUUAUCUUAGUUGGUGUUUGUUUUGUUUUUGUUUUUUUUCCAGGAACCAACUUCUGUCCUUGCUGACCUUUUCAAUUGCAGGUUUAUUUUCUAUUUUAUUAAUUUGUCUUAAAUUCCUUACUUUUAUUAAUUUUUAGUUAUUAUCCUAACAUCAUGGGGUAGAUUUUAGUUAUUUAAUAUUCAGCUAUUCUUUUUUCAUACUGUAUGCAUUAAAGGUUAUUUUUCUUUUAAAUACUACCCCUUAAUGCAUUUGAAAACAUAUAUUUGUAUUUUAUCCAAUGUUUUGAGUUUUCAAGCAGAGAUUUAAUAUGAAUCACUUGGCUCACCAUUUUGCUUAAAGUAGAAAUCAGUACUCCUAUUGAUGUAAGCACUACCUUGUUUCUGAC